CCCUUAGAUGUUCUGGGCCGCACGCGCGCUACACUGAAUGGAUCAACGUGUUUUCCCUUCCCGAGAGGGACGGGUAACCCGCUGAACCCCAUUCGUGGUAGGGAUCGGAGCUUGCAAUUGUUCUCCGUGAACCAGGAAUUCCCAGUAAGCGCGAGUCAUCAGCUCGCAUUGAUUACGUCCCUGCCCUUUGUACACACCGCCCGUCGCACCUACCGAUUGAAUGGUCCGGUGAAGCCUCCGGAUUGGACGCGCUGGCCCUGCCAGACGGCCGAGAAGUUGGCUAAAUCUUACCAUUUAGAGGAAGGUGAANUCGUANCA
rnacentral:rRNA from 1 species